rnacentral:rRNA from 1 species
CCUACGGGUGGCAGCAGUGAGGAAUAUUGGUCAAUGGGCGUAAGCCUGAACCAGCCAAGUCGCGUGAGGGAUGAAGGUUCUAUGGAUCGUAAACCUCUUUUAUAAGGGAAUAAAGUGUGGGACGUGUCCUAUUUUGUAUGUACCUUAUGAAUAAGGAUCGGCUAACUCCGUGCCAGCCGCCGCGGUAAUACGGAGGAUCCGAGCGUUAUGCGGAUUUAUUGGGGUUAAAGGGUGCGUAGGCGGCAUUUUAAGUCCGGGGGCAAAGUCUGUGGCUCAACCAGAGAAUUGCCGUUGAAACUGGGGGGCUUGAGUAGGUUAGAGGAAGGCGGAAUGCGUGGUGUAGCGGGGAAAUGCUUAGAUAUCACGCAGAACCCCGAUGGCGAAGGCAGCCUGCCAAGCCAUGACUGACGCUGAUGCACGAAAGCGUGGGGAUCAAACAGGAUUAGAUACCCUUGUAGUC